rnacentral:rRNA from 1 species
ACGUACACUCCUACGGGAGGCAGCAGUGGGGAAUAUUGGACAAUGGGCGCAAGCCUGAUCCAGCCAUGCCGCGUGAGUGAUGAAGGCCCUAGGGUUGUAAAGCUCUUUCACCGGAGAAGAUAAUGACGGUAUCCGGAGAAGAAGCCCCGGCUAACUUCGUGCCAGCAGCCGCGGUAAUACGAAGGGGGCUAGCGUUGUUCGGAAUUACUGGGCGUAAAGCGCACGUAGGCGGAUCGAUCAGUCAGGGGUGAAAUCCCAGGGCUCAACCCUGGAACUGCCUUUGAUACUGUCGAUCUGGAGUAUGGAAGAGGUGAGUGGAAUUCCGAGUGUAGAGGUGAAAUUCGUAGAUAUUCGGAGGAACACCAGUGGCGAAGGCGGCUCACUGGUCCAUUACUGACGCUGAGGUGCGAAAGCGUGGGGAGCAAACAGGAUUAGAAACCCCAGUAGUCCC